CUUGGUCAUUUAGAGGAAGUAAAAGUCGUAACAAGGUCUCCGUUGGUGAUCCAGCGGAGGGAUCAUUACAGAGUUGCAAAACUCCAACAAACCAUCGCGAAUCUUACCCGUACGGUUGCCUCGGCGCUGGCGGUCCGGAAGGCCCUCGGGCCCCCCGGAUCCUCUCGGGUCUCCCGCUCGCGGGAGUCUGCCCGCCGGAGUGCCGAAACCAAACUCUUGAUAUUUUAUGUCUCUCUGAGUAAACUUUUAAAUAAGUCAAAACUUUCAACAACGGAUCUUUUGGUUCUGGCAUCGAUGAAGAACGCAGCGAAAUACGAUAAGUAAUGUGAAUUGCAGAAUUCAGUGAAUCAUCGAAUCUUUGAACGCACAUUGCGCUCAUCAGUAUUCUGGCGAGCAUGCCUGUUCGAGCGUCAUUUCAACCAUCAAGCUCCGCUUGCGUUGGGGAUCCGCGUCUGACGCGGUCCCUCAAAAACAGUGGCGGGCUCGCUAGUCACACCGAGCGUUGUAACUCUACAUCGCUAUGGUCGUGCGGCGGGUUCGACGUAAAACCCCCAAUUUUAACCUUUCUUGAUCAGGUAGGAUACCCCCUGACUUAUGCAUAUCAAUAAGCGGAGGA
rnacentral:rRNA from 1 species